rnacentral:rRNA from 1 species
UACGUAGGGGGCAAGCGUUAUCCGGAAUCAUUGGGCGUAAAGCGCGUGUAGGCGGUUCCGUAAGUCCGCCCUGAAAGCCCAGGGCUCAACCCUGGGAGGCGGGUGGAUACUACGGAACUGGAGUACGGAAGAGGAGAUUGGAAUUCCUGGUGUAGCGGUGAAAUGCGCAGAUAUCAGGAGGAACACCAACAGCGAAGGCAGAUCUCUGGGACGCUACUGACGCUGAGACGCGAAAGCGUGGGGAGCAAACAGG